AGGGGAGUGGCUCAGUGGUAGAGCACGCAGAAGGUCGCCGGUUCAGUCCUCGGCAUCUCCAG
rnacentral:tRNA from 1 species